ACAGGUGUCUAUAUGAGGACCUGUUUAUAGACAGGUCGCCCACUGAAGCUAAGCAGGGCUGCGCCCGGUCAGUACCUGGAUGGGAGACCACAUGGGAAAGCUAGGUUGCUGCCGGAA
rnacentral:rRNA from 1 species